rnacentral:lncRNA from 1 species
UUUGUCUCUCUUUGUCUCUCUCUCUUUGUCUCUCUCUGUCUUCCUCUGUCUGUUUCUCUCUCUCUCUCUCUCUCUUUCUCUCUGUUUCUCUCUUUCUCUCUCUUUCUUUCUCUCUGUCUUUCUCUCUGUUUCUCUCUUUCUCUCUCUUUCUUUCUCUUGUUCUCUCUCUCUUUCUCUUUCUCUCUUUCUCUGUCUUUCUCUUUCUCUCUCUCUCUGUCUUACUCUCUCUUUCUCUCUCUUUCUCUCUCUGUCUUUCUCUCGUUCUCUCUCUGUCUUUCUCUGUGUCUUCCUCCCUUUCUCUCUCUCUUUUUCUCUCUUUCUCUCUCUCUUUCUGUCUCUCUCUUUCUCUCUCUCUCUCUUUCUGUCUGUCUCCCUCUCUCUCU